UACGUAGGGUGCGAGCGUUAAUCGGAAUUACUGGGCGUAAAGCGUGCGCAGGCGGUUCGUCGUGUCUGAUGUGAAAGCCCCGGGCUCAACCUGGGAAUGGCAUUGGAAACUGGCGGACUAGAGUGUGGCAGAGGGAGGUGGAAUUCCGCGUGUAGCAGUGAAAUGCGUAGAGAUGCGGAGGAACACCGAUGGCGAAGGCAGCCCCCUGGGCUAACACUGACGCUCAGGCACGAAAGCGUGGGGAGCAAACAGG
rnacentral:rRNA from 1 species